UAUAAAUACCCUUCGAAUAUAGUUUUCAUUUUGAUUGGUACCGACAUCGUAAAGAUCGUCUUUGUCACGGCAGUAUUAUUUUAUAAUAAUGGCAGUAUUAUUUGCGCGAAAAUGAUUUUUCACUAUGAAAUCUAUUAACAUAAAUUAAUUAAUAUUAAAGUUCACAAUAUUGUCGAGUUCUUCAAUAGUCUCGAAUUAUAAAUGCCGAAUAGUGCUCAGUGUUCUUAUUCGAGCGAUAAUUUCCUUCGAAUCUGUACAGGAAAAGGAAAUUUGUCGCACGAAAAAAGAAGAGAAAAAGAAUUCAGAACAAAUAUUCGUUGGUUGGUAUCAAUAUCGAUCGACGAUAUGAAACAUCUCACUUCGCAUCGGAUACGUUGUACGAACGUAACAAAGAGUUUCAGUUUCUUGUAGGAUGCGCGCAUGUGUGCGAUCAAUGUGUACAUCAAUAGAAAAUAGAAAUAGUAAAAUCUUCAGUUCGAACUCGGCUUGAACGUCGUGUACUGCGGCGGCUUCUCGAUCUUGCAGUGGGGCUUCAGGGUUGCUAAACGAUCUGGUUUGAGAAACAGCUGCUCCCCCUGCACAAUUUUCAUCUUAAGGAUCUUAAGAGAAUAUGAAUCUGGUCGCGUUCAAGGCACGCGUGUAACCAGAAGCAUCGGACAAAUAAAACUCUACAGGUAUAUGUACAUAUGCUACGGGUGAUUACAUGACAUUUGGAAAUGGUAAACUAUAUAAUAUAUAUAAGUGUGGUUUGUGCAAAUAUUUUCGUAUACGAGAAAGAAACAGGGCCGUUUUAUAUCUCGGAUAAUGAUCGGCUCAUUGUUUUCUAUGUCAUUGUUACAUAUAUACUUAUUGAUGACCAUUCAUUAUUGCGUAUCAAUAUUGACACGGUUACCAAAAUGAUGCAUUUUAUUAAUAUAAAAUAACAUAUUGAUAAACAAAAUAUGGCAAAUAACAAUUGCACGAUAUAAAUAGAAAUUAUAUUUUCAAUAAUGCUAUAUAUUUUAAUAUAUUUUAAUAUACUUUUUAUAAACGCAUCAUUUUGUUCGAUCACAAUAUAAUAUAAACGUAUCUAAUGAGUUUUGAAUAUUCGCAAAUACAAAAUGAAUAUAUGCGUGUACAUUAAUAUUAUUGAUAUCGAUGUAAAUAAUGUAAAUAUAUCGGCCUGAUAAACGAUUUAAAUAAAUAUUUAAAGUGGUUAGCUAAUCAAAAUUUCAUGAUACAUUGGAAUUCUUGUUUAAUCUAAAUAUUUAUACUUUUCCAAGGCAAAACUCUUCAUUCUCGUUUCAUAAAACGGUCCUGAAUUCAUUUAAAAUCUUGUAUCAAACGGGAGAUUGGGAAUGUGAAGCAAACAGUGCUCGUUGUUACGCAAACAUGUCGCAUACCGCAUACGAGUUCCAAAGAGAAUAGAUUUCGUAUUGAUAAUUCGUAUAUCCGCACAACAUGCUCGCAAUCGUUUUCACGAGUGUGAAAGGGAUAUUGCUAGGUUUGAUAACAAACGGACAAGCAUACGCAUCUGUAUGAUUAUUUUUUAAUGAUAACAUGAUACACGAAAGAGAGUACUCGAAAUUUGUUUCUACGCAAAAUGUCAUACAGCAUCGUCUCACGUAGAUUGCUCGGUUACAGGUUAUGAACGAAGUGGCAUCAAUGAUAGUUUCGAGAUGCGAGCAGCAAAGCUAAUUAAUCGUUACAAUGAUUUUGCGCAAUGAUAAUGACGAUUCGCGAUCGGACGAAGUGCAAAUGAGAUGAAAUGGAGGAAAGAGAAAGAGAGAGAAAGAAUGAAUGAAACAGAAAGAGUGGGAGAGAAGAACAUCUCGAUGAAUAUAAAAGGUAUGCAUACACAAAUGUUAACAUGCACGUGGAAUUUGCGAUGUCGUAACAUGCUUGAUAAUGAUCUUUGUCAAACGCAAAUCAAGGGAAAAUUCCCUCGAGCCAUUAAAAUUAAAUCUUUUACGAUUUAGCAAUUAUACCGUGCACGUUCUACAUCUGUUCAAGGAUUGGUUUAAGUAAAUAGUCAUAUGCUUUUCUCUAUCGAUUUUCGAAGAAUCAGUUACGUGUGUACAAUGUAAAACUUAACGUUUAUUGAGUCGCGGAACUAUCUUGAAUAAUCGUUAACUUCGAUUAAUGAUUAGCAUUAUGGUAACCUAUUUGUAUUGAGCGGCGAUUCUCGCUAAUUACCGAUACGCUUAUUUGAACGAAUAGAUCGGUAAUCGAACAUACGAUUAUCUGUGGCUUUUAAUUACACUGGCGGAUGCACACUGUCCGAUUAUAAUAAUAAUAAUAAUAAUAAUAGAUUCGUCGAUAAUGCGAUUUAUCGUAAGUAAUUAUCUUCACAACCGUGUGUAUAUAAUAUAAUUAUAUAUAUGUGUAUAUUAAUACAUAUCUAUAUAAAUUUUUCAAGCUUCUUCGAUAUCUCGAUGCACAUGAUCAGCUAGUGAUUUAGCCGACGUUAUAUUUAAGAAACGAGUAAUAUAGUUUUUUAAUAAAAAUCAGUCUUUCGUUUUCUUUCGUUAACGCUUAAGGGAAACACGUGGCUGUAUCAGAAAUGUUUGGAUGCAAAAAUAAAACGAAAGCAAUAAUAAGAAUGCAAGCUGAAAGAAUUAAAUUUCUUAUUUAAUCUUGUUAUUCACGGUACAAUCGUUUCUCUUAUAACGCACGAUCAAUCUGUAUCAAAUAAUAAAGUCAUCUAAGAUUUUAAUGUUGAAUUUACCUUCUUGCUAAUAUCUUUUCCAUACGAUGUCCUGUAAAAAUGGAUCAGAUUAUAUUGAAAUCGUUCAAAACAAGAGAGAAGUUGAAUUAAAAAUUUUCUUCUUUUUUUCUUGCAGGUGAUCUACGAUAUUUUUUUUUUUUUUUUUUUUCAUUUAAAAUUAUUUCCAAGAUGUUACAUGGAGCAAAUUGUGUGGAUAUAUAUCGUGAAUCGAUUCGUUCGAUCGUUUUACCAUUAAAAUUACACGGAAGAAUAGAGAUUCGAUGGCGUUAUAGCAGAAAUGGUUGUAACCGCUACUUACGUACACGUACCUAAUGACAUUACCUACAAGGACAUUGCGGUAAUUGGGAGAGGGACACCGCGGUGUCUAGAUGCAACCAAAUGCAUGCGUAAUAUACCCUACUGGCCGCAUAAAUCACUCAAAUGACUAUCUCGAUCGGGGAAGGGACAGCGGCUAGUGGUCAAUACUUGUGCAAGUCUAUAUUGUCUUGGUGGCUAGUAUUACGAUCGGAGACGAUAAACGUGACAUACUUUCAACGUGUAUGUAUAUAUACAAGUUUAUGAGAUGAUAGUUCGUAACUGUAUUCCGUUCUUUUCAAAGCACUAUGUAUCGUGCAGAGCAUGAGUGUAGUAUGUACAUGAAUCCUUUGAAAUCGUUCCUUUUUCGUUCUUACUGGGCGUGAAUGAAUAGUCAAUAGAGGUCUAACGAGUGAAUUUUUCGAUCGGAUGGUAUUUAAUGGGAGAACAUAACGUAAUCGACUAUUGUAAAGACACGUGUAUCUGUAACUUUUCUAAAUAUAUAUUGAAUGUACGAUA